rnacentral:rRNA from 1 species
AUACGGAGGGUGCAAGCGUUAAUCGGAAUUACUGGGCGUAAAGCGCGCGUAGGCGGUUUAGUAAGUCGGAUGUGAAAGCCCAGGGCUCAACCUUGGAAUUGCAUUCGAUACUGCUUAACUAGAGUAUGGUAGAGGGAAGUGGAAUUUCCGGUGUAGCGGUGAAAUGCGUAGAUAUCGGAAGGAACACCAGUGGCGAAGGCGACUUCCUGGGCCAAUACUGACGCUGAGGUGCGAAAGCUAGGGGAGCGAACGGGAUUAGAAACCCCAGUAGUCC